CGUUGAUCAAAUACCUUAAUCUAUUUUAAACUGAGGGUUUUUCUGUUUUGGUCUUUUUGUACAAUGUAUAUGGAACAAUGUAAUUUAAACUCAUUACUCUACUAUCUGCUCGCAGAAUUAAUGUAUCAAAUUUUGAUUGAUUUGGAAUAUAAUCUACCUGUUUUCAAACCUUCUUAUAGCAUUACUUAAAAUUUUCUUUUUUUCAAAAAUAAAAAGGAAGUUGGUGUAAAAUUCAUGAGUGUCAUUAUAAUCACAAAGCUUUUGCUAGAUAUCAUCUUGAACAAAUUGGUAUCUUUCCAUUUAAACAUGAUUUCUCGUAUACGAAUAUUGCAUUUCGUGUAACAGUUAAGGCUGCUAUGCUAAAUAUUCAUAAAUGCGACCAUUAUCGGCUUGUCUUUGUAGGUACUCCCGCUCUAUUAAAGCUUCAAUUCGUCGCUUAAUCAUCAUCGGACUAGGGUGGAAACGAGGGUUUAACUGUCUUGUAACCUCUGCCAUCAGCUGAUUGUGUUCGCACACUUUGCGAUCCCUUAAUUUACUGUUAGUAAAAAUGUUUGAAAAAAAAAAAAAAGGAAAAAGACAUACUUCAUCACUCUAACAAUACAGGCAUCUGCUUGAUGCUUCCUUGACUCGUCUACCUUCUCUAAUGUACGUUUUCUCUCACUAUCAUCCUCAACACGAGUCUGAGCAACUGUCGAUAUUUUAAUCCGGGCGAGAUUUGAAACAAAGUUCUCAUUGAAAUAAAACUUGUCACCUGCAUUCACCUCCCUUCCUUUUGGAUCCUUUAGCAAAAUCUUGUAUUUUGCACAAGCAAGGGACUGAAGAUUGCGCUUCAAAUCCCCAACUUCUAUAUUGGUUUUUUCCAAAAUCUCCUCAAAAAUUAAACACUGAUUUUCUUUUAGGUCUUGGAAAAGCAAUAGAAUAACAGAUGCAAUAGUCGAUACAUUCAAGUCAUAUUUUCUGUCUUUGAAAUUAACACGGACAUCAGCACUUCCCUAAAUAGGAUUGUUAGUGUGACGCAACAAGCAAAUAAAAGUUUACUAUACCAUAGAAGGAUACCACAAUAAUUUUCUCCCCGUAUGUUUCGAUAAAUAAAAAUCCGUAAAUUGAUCUAUCUGAGCCAGGAGAACUUUCGGAAAGUUACAUUUAAUUUUGUGAGGCGAUAAAUCGAUGGGCCAAAAUGUAGAAGCCAAAAUUGAAACGUUUAAGUCCAAAGCAGGCUAACUGUUAGUAUAAAGGAUUAUCAAUAAAAAUUUCCACUAACCUUGGCCGACUGUAACGCAGAAUUAUGUUUGUACUCCUGUAACAAUUCUUGUGAAAGAUUCAUAUCUAAGCAUUAAUAAGGGAACGCAAAAAAACUUGCUAAAGUCUGAAUACUUACCAUUAAACAUUCCUUCGAGCUUUUG